UUUAUUGUUUGAUAUGAAUAAAAUGGGGGUUCGAUUCCGGAGAGGGAGUAUGCGAAACGGCUACCACAUCCAAGGAAGGCAGCAGGCGCGCAAAUUGCCCACUCCCGGCACAGGGAAGUA